AAGGGAAGAAAAAGGAAAUAAUAUUAUUUCAAAAUGGAGGAUUUUAUUUGACGUCAUGAACGAACUACAUGGCAUGGGGAAGGGGAAUCUCUCUUCUACCUAUUAAUCAAUUACGAUAGUUUUUGUACAAAAAAGAAAAGGAAAAGCAUGGGGAAGGAAGAAGCACGCGGACCAACUUUGCUGCUCUCAGGAAUUAAACGCACACUCCAAUAACUGGGGAUCUUCAAAGAUAUUAAUAAAGGAUUUUCAUGCACUGUUUAUUUCGUCCACCAUCUUGAAGGUCUAAAUUGUGGUGUUUAUCAGAAUGUAUUUAAAGAGUUUUACGAUUCUUGUCGCCGAAACUCCAAGGGGGUAGCCGAGUAAAUGGGAGUCACGGAAUGGAGAGGAAUGAUUGUAGACGGGAAAUUAAUAAAAACGUACAGAGCAUUUGUUAACUGAUAAAAGACUACUAAAAAAUAGAAUAUGUAACAUUGAACGUACAUUGGUAAUUAAAACCAGUAAAUAUUACUAAUAAUGUACAUGACUAAAAUAAGAGGUGGUUUUAAAUAAAAAAGGUUUCAUAUAA
rnacentral:lncRNA from 1 species